CUUCCUUACUCCUUCCCUCCUCUCCCGCCCUCUUGCCUUCCUUCCGCCUUUUCUUCUUGUAUUUACUGACCACUUACUCUGGGCCAGCAGAGUUCCAGGCAGUGGGGACACAGAGGUAAACACAGCCAGGUGCCUGUUCCCACUGCUGAGAGUCUAAUGUGGGAGAAAGACCACACCUAAGUGGACACGUUCACGGACAAAAUCACCCCAGAGAACCAGAAUGAAGCCAGACCGUAAGUGGGGAGGUGGUCUCCGGAAGGAGCCUCUGAAGGAGUAACAGUGGAGACAGGACCUAGCUCCUUGAGGGUGAGGAGGAGACCUUCUAGGCAGCCAGAGGGCCCUGCGAAGACGCUAAGGCAGCUUCCAGAUGACCUACAGGUGCAGCCACUCCUGUGGCUUAGGCUUCAGGACUUGCAGACAGUGGCUUUAUGUCCCAACCCCGGGGGCCACCAAGGGGGCAGUCCCUGAACAUAAGGACAGACGCCUGGGUGAGGAGAGGGUGUGGGACAAGGUCCCAUUCAGAGCCUGGCAGCCACGGUGCAGAGCUGGGGAAACAGAGGCUCAGCGCACCAAGUCCCCACCCAAGGUCAUGAACCUACUUUAGGUAGAUUUCAAUAUAACUUCAUUGAGCACCCACCAUGUGCUCCGCACUGGCCUCAGGGAAAAGACACAGGAGCAGGAGAUUCUCCGAGGCAAGGCCAGGGUCAGAGUAGCUGUGCAUCCUCAGCCAGGGGCCACCCCGCCUCCUCCUUCCCCAGUGGCCCCCACAUUAAAUAAAAAUCCUCAGGCUCAGGCUUCCCUGGUGGCGGCACAGUGGUUAAGAAUCCGCCUGCCAAUGCAGGGGACACGCAUUCGAGCCCUGGUCCGGGAAGAUCCCACAUGCCGCGGAGCAACUAAGCCCGUGCGCCACAACUACUGAGCCUGCGCUCUAGAGCCCGCGAGCCACAACUACUGAGCUCACGUGCUACAACUACUGAAGCCCGUGCACCUAGAGCCCGUGCUCCGCAGCAAGAGAAGCCACCGCAAUGAGAAGCCCGCACACAGCAACAAAGAGUAGCCCCCGCUCGCCACAGCUAGAGAAAGCCCGCGUGCAGCAACGAAGACCCAGUGCAGCCAAAAAUAAAUAAAUUAAAUAAAUAAAUUUUUUAAAAAAAUCCUCAGGUUCAGCAUCCCCGUCACACUCACCUCCCAGUUGGGUCUCUUUGCUUCAGAGAGAGAGAGAGAGAGCAGAGUGAGAGAGCCUAACGGGGCCAAGGAGCAAAGGCUCGAACGUUUGGGAAAGACAGACAGUGGGGCUUCCCGCUGGCCCCCAAAGAGCUGAAGCACCCAGCACCCUGUCUUCUGCUUGCUCACCCAGGCUCACCCGGAAUUCAUAGCCAAUAACAGACUGGGCUCGCCCUCUGCCCAGUGCUGGGGUGGGGGGUGGGGCUUGGCUGGAUACCUAUGAAGUCUCCUACCUUGGAAUGUGCCCUCACCCCCUCCGUGGUGUAAAUUCCCAAUCUGUCAGAGUCUACGUCUCCAGCUCAGGCCCAGGGUCGGGAGAGGAGGGGGAGCCAGCAGCUGUGGGAACAUCUGGUCUAGCACGGGGAGCAGAGAAGAACAGAACAGGGUCAGCGCAGGGCUGACGGGAGGGGAGGCAAAACCAAGUGGCAGGCGGGCACUAAAAUGACGCUUACGAGCAAAGCAACACUGCAGACGGUGGCUGGCGGGAAGGUGCUCGCUGCACGGCGGUCAGAAGAGCUGGGUCUGUCCCGCCUUAGACACAAAUUCACCAAGAGGCUCCCUGAUGCUCGCUCAGCCUCCAUGUCCCCGGCUGUGAAGGGAAGGGGGCUGCACAGUCUCUAAGGUCUCUUCCAGUUGUUUGUUCGUUUUGUUUCGUCUUGUUUUUAAAUAAAGGAAGGCCUCCAAGUACUGUCCUCAAGAAAACGACAGUGACACAUGAUCGAGCACCUACUGUGUGCUGGGCACUUUCCUAGGGACUGGCUGCGUCCUGGAAAAGAAGAUGGGGGCCUCUGCUCCUGGGGUGGGUGAUGUUGCAGGUUAUAUUUAACUCUCACCAUCAGGCUGUCCCCAUCUUACAGACACGGAAACAGACUCAGAGUGAUGACUGCCCAAGGUCACCUGGCCAGUCAGGGGCCAGACUCCAGGCACGUUUUCUGGCCCCAAGGGGGCGCUCUUUCCACCCCACCCCGGUUACUUGCCAUCUGUGCGUGUUACCGCUCGGAGGCUUGGAGGGCUCAGCCAGGCAGGGAGGUAACGUGAACACACAUCACCCCCAGGCUCGGACCGAGGCCACGUCAUUAGGGAUUUGCUUAAUGUCCCAACAAACCGGGGAGAGGGUCCAGGUCUGGAAUGCAGAGGCCAUGAUGCCUCACCAGUGCUCCCUCCAGAACAACUGGCUGCCUCUGCCCUAAUAAGGCCACAAGGCAUUCGGAAGAGCAGGACUGAUUCAUCCCUUUUCUGAAUCCAAAUCCGGAGACGCUGUGAUUCCCCGGAUCUCUCAGCUCACAAACAUCACUGGACCCCCAGGAACACAGUGAUGAGGGAGACAGACAAGUUCCCUGUGCUGGGGAGGAGUGUCCGUCCUCAUGCAGCUAGACAGAUCCGGGGGAAAACCUAGACAGUGCUGCGUCCCCAGGAGAAAAUAAGGCAGGUGUGCGAUGGCAACGAGGAGGUGCUGGGGGCCAGGUGACUUGGAGCUGAGAGGCCCGGCACGAGCCUGGCGGGAAGAGCCAUCCCAGCAGAGGGGGAGCACGUGAGCCCCGGCCCGGCCCAGAGCAACUGGGUAUUCGGAGGAGGAACUGCCAGGCUUCACUUGUCUCCACAGACCGCUGCAAAGCCUCUGGAGGGUCUCAGGCAGGAGAGUGAGACCAGCAGCGUUCUUACAGCAUCACUCUGGCCGCCAGGAGGACAGGUGCAGGAAGGCACUGAGGACACGACUGUGCAGGACAAGAGAGAAGUCGUGGCAGCUGGGCACAGGGCAGUGGGCAGCGACGGAGGAGGGGAGAGUGGAGGGGAGCCCGCUUCUGGGUGCCUCCCUCACCCCAGUCUCACGCCCCCUACCCCCGCACUCACCCUCCUUAGUGACAUCAGGGACUCAGGGACGCAGAUGCAGGAGAAAGGUGCAGGCAAGUGUAGAAAGCAAAGGAGAGCUUCGAUCAGGCAUCCUGUCCGACACCCCCGGCACAGUGGGGUCUCCAGAGGCCACAGAGGCAGUGUCUGCGGCGCCCACCGAGGUGGCCGACAGCUCAGCAGGUGUCUGGGCAUGAACACGUGGAGGCAGGCCACGUGCAGAAGCUGGGGUUCAGCGCCUGGCAUCAGGGUGCAUGCGUGAGAUAAAUAUUAAACCCCCUCCAGAUCUGUAACACCUGAUUCUUCACAACAGCAAGAUCCUAAGACGGGGAAACCAGCCCCAGUCAUCCUCCCUCUUCGCCUCCACGCAGGGCACUGGGCUCCAGACCGAGUCAGGCCUGGUCCUGCUCCUGGAGAGCUCGCAGUCUGAUGGGGGAGGCGCACGGCUCAACAGUGACGUCAGGGAAGCAGGCGAUCCCAGGGAGGUGUCUGGGGGCCUAAAGGAAGGGGGAGCCGCCAUCUGGCCUUCUGCUCUUCCACUCAUCCCUCCAGGUAACAGUAACAAUAACAACCGAGACUGCCACUCGAGCGCCUCCUCUGGGCCAGGCACUGUUUCUGAUGGAAGAACCCAGCGCACCUCUGACUCCCCUAGGGGCUCCCAGGUGAUGCCAGUGUGCAGCCAGCCGCGAGCCCCUGGCCUGCAGCACAGCUUUUCAUAAGGAUUCGUGAGAGGACAGAUGCCAAGUGCCUGGCGUACGGCUGGACCACAGUAAAUGGUGCCUUUCCUGACAGUACGCGGGCCUCUCACUGUUGGGGCCUCUCACUGUUGUGGCCUCUCCCGUUGCGGAGCACAGGCUCUAGACGCGCAGGCUCAGCGGCCAUGGCUCACGGGCCCAGCCGCUCCACGGCAUGUGGGAUCCUCCCGGACCGGGGCACGAACCCGUGUCCCCUGCAUCGGCAGGCGGACUCUCAACC